rnacentral:rRNA from 1 species
AAUACGAUAGGGUGCAAGCGUUGUCUGGAAUUAUUGGGCGUAAAGAGCUCGUAGGUCGUUUGACACGUCGAUUGUGAAAAUCUGAGGCUCAACCUCAGACCUGCAGUCGAUACGGUCAAACUAGAGUGUGGUAGGGGAGACUGGAAUUCCUGGUGUAGCGGUGGAAUGCGCAGAUAUCAGGAGGAACACCAAUGGCGAAGGCAGGUCUCUGGGCCAUAACUGACACUGAGGAGCGAAAGCGCGGGGAGCGAACAGGAUUAGAUACCCUGGUAGUCCGCGCCGUAAACGGUGGGCACUAGCUGUGGGUCCCUUCCACGGGAUCCGCGACGCAGCAAACGCAUUAAGUGCCCCGCCUGGGGAGUACGAUCGCAAGAUUAAAACUCAAAGGAAUUGACGGGGCCCCGCACAAGCAGCGGAGCAUGCGGCUUAAUUCGACGCAACGCGAAGAACCUUACCAAGGCUUGACAUAUAGCGAAAAGUGGCAGAGAUGUC